UACGAAGGGGGCUAGCGUUGUUCGGAAUUACUGGGCGUAAAGCGCGCGCAGGCGGUCCUUCAAGUCAGAGGUGAAAGCCCAGAGCUCAACUCUGGAACGGCCUUUGAGACUAGAGGACUUGGGUACGGGAGAGGUGAGUGGAAUUCCGAGUGUAGAGGUGAAAUUCGUAGAUAUUCGGAAGAACACCAGUGGCGAAGGCGGCUCACUGGACCAUUACUGACGCUGAUGCACGAAAGCUAGGGGAGCAAACAGG
rnacentral:rRNA from 1 species